AUUGAACGCUGGCGGCAGGCUUAACACAUGCAAGUCGAGCGGAGUGAUGGUGCUUGCACUAUCACUUAGCGGCGGACGGGUGAGUAAUGCUUAGGAAUCUGCCUAUUAGUGGGGGACAACAUCUCGAAAGGGAUGCUAAUACCGCAUACGUCCUACGGGAGAAAGCAGGGGAUCACUUGUGACCUUGCGCUAAUAGAUGAGCCUAAGUCGGAUUAGCUAGUUGGUGGGGUAAAGGCCUACCAAGGCGACGAUCUGUAGCGGGUCUGAGAGGAUUAACCGCCACACUGGGACUGAGACACGGCCCCGACUCCUACGGGAGGCAGCAGUGGGGAAUAUUGGACAAUGGGGGGAACCCUGAUCCAGCCAUGCCGCGUGUGUGAAGAAGGCCUUAUGGUUGUAAAGCACUUUAAGCGAGGAGGAGGCUCUUUUGGUUAAUACCCAAGAUGAGUGGACGUUACUCGCAGAAUAAGCACCGGCUAACUCUGUGCCAGCCGCCGCGGUAA
rnacentral:rRNA from 1 species